AAGCGGAAUUCUCGGUGUAGCGGUGAAAUGCGUAGAUAUCGAGAAGAACACCAGUGGCGUAGGCGGCUCUCUAGCCCGAUACUGACACUGAAACACGAAAGCGUGGGUAGCGAACGGGAUUAGAUACCCCGGUAGUCCACGCCGUAAACGAUGGGUACUAGGUGCAGGUGGUAUCGAUCCCUUCUGUGCCGAAGCAAACGCGUUAAGUACCCCGCCUGGGGAGUACGGCCGCAAGGCUAAAACUCAAAGGAAUAGACGGGGGCCCGCACAAGCGGUGGAGCAUGUGGUUUAAUACGACGCAACGCGUAGAACCUUACCAGGGCUUGACAUGCUGGUGGUACUGGCUCCGAAAGGAGACAGGACCCUUCGGGGAGCCAACACAGAUGUUGCACGGCUGUCGUCAGCUCGUGUCGUGAGAUGUUGGGUUAAGUCCCGCAACGAGCGCAACCCUUGUCCUUAGUUGCCAGCAGGUAAUGCUGGGGACUCUAAGGAGACUGCCUGUGAUAAGCAGGAGGAAGGUGAGGAUGACGUCAAGUCAUUGUGGCUCUUACGCCCUGGGCUACACACGUGCUACAAUGGUCGAUACAAUGGGUAGCAAUGCCGCGAGGUGGAGCCAAUCCCCAAAAGUCGGCCUCAGUUCGGAUUGGAGUCUGCAACUCGACUCCAUGAAGUCGGAAUCGCUAGUAAUGGCGCAUCAGCUACGGCGCCGUGAAUACGUUCCCGGGCCUUGUACUCACCGCCCGUCACAUCACCUGAGUUGAUUGCACCUGAAGUCACUGGUCUAACCUUCGGGAGGAAAGUGCCGAAGGUGU
rnacentral:rRNA from 1 species